rnacentral:rRNA from 1 species
GUAGCGGCGAGUGAAGCGGCAAAAGCUCAAAUUUGAAAUCUGGCAGUUUCACUGUCCGAGUUGUAAUUUGAAGAAGGUAUCUUUGGGUCUGGCGCUUGUCUAUGUUCCUUGGAACAGGACGUCACAGAGGGUGAGAAUCCCGUGCGAUGAGCUGUCCAGUCCCGUGUAAAGUUCCUUCGAAGAGUCGAGUUGUUUGGGAAUGCAGCUCUAAGUGGGUGGUAAAUUCCAUCUAAAGCUAAAUAUUGGCGAGAGACCGAUAGCGAACAAGUACAGUGAUGGAAAGAUGAAAAGAACUUUGAAAAGAGAGUGAAAAAGUACGUGAAAUUGUUGAAAGGGAAGGGCUUGCGAUCAGACUUGGUAUUUUGUAUGUUUUGCCUUCGGGUGGGGCCUCUACAUUUUACUGGGCCAGCAUCGGUUCG